GAUGAAGAACGCAGCGAAACGCGAUAUGUAAUGUGAAUUGCAGAAUUCAGUGAAUCAUCGAAUCUUUGAACGCACAUUGCGCCCCCUGGUAUUCCGGGGGGCAUGCCUGUCCGAGCGUCAUUGCAACCUUCAAGCGCGGCUUGUGUGUUGGGUCUCGUCCCCCGUGGACGGGCCCGAAAGGCAGUGGCGGCGUCCCGACAUGGUGCCCGAGCGUAUGGGAAUCCUCUUCCGCUCGAAUCGGCCCAUGCGGCGCUGGUCGUAACCAAAUUUUUUACCGGUUGACCUCGGAUCAGGUAGGGAUACCCGCUGAACUUAAGCAUAUCAAUAAGCGGAGGA
rnacentral:misc_RNA from 1 species